GGACUGACUGCACCCUCAACACGCUAACCUGUACUACCCUCAGGGGUAUGGAGUCCCUGGCACCUCCCUGACGACAUCACUGAAGUAUGGAUGGAUUAUCACCUCUCAGACAUGAGCUGGAUGCCCGCCACCAUGAUGGAUGCCCAGGCUGCAGUGCAAAAGCAAGCCUUUCCUUCCCUCCCUUAUUUCCGUCCAGCAUUUUGUCACAGCAAUUAAAAAAUAAG